GAGGAGGGCAAUGUGGCUGCAACAUCCGCCACUCUAUUGAACACCAGUGUUGACUCUGUUGAUCAGUCUGGCUAAGGUGUUUCCUUCCCUUACCACCUCAUGAGCAUCCCUUCCAAAACUGUGUGCCCAGUGGAAGAGAUGGCCUUCCUUCCUCAAUAGGUUGUAGCCUCUUUCCCUGAGUGAAUAUGGAGUGAUGCUCAUGCCCUCUCCUCAGCAGGGAACCAGUAGGUGACCCUGCCCAUUUGCAGGCACAGCCCAGCACUGCACCCCAUCACAGACCUGCAGUCCCUU
rnacentral:snRNA from 1 species